UUUCGCUCACACACUCGCCCUCACACGGCUGCUUCCAACCGACGCACACAGGCGCAGACCCAUUUACACAAACUGGAGAAAGCACUAUAAAUAGUAUGCCUACGAUGUGAUGCUGUGUGUUGCUUACCCCUGUGGGUUUUUAUGUGUGUGUGACUGUCAAGAGUGACAAGAGAGGGAGAGCGAGAGGACGGUAAGCGAAGGGAAGGCUCUGCUCACGUCUGGCGCACAGCCAGUGAUAAACACAAAGUGACAGGCGUGGCAAAGAUGGAUGAGGAACACAAUAGCAGCUGAACAAACCGAAAAUUCCUUUCCGCAUGAGCGCUGUCAAGUUGGCAGUGAGAAAUUAUGGAGGCCAACAUCUGAUGGCUCGCAGAUUUGUGAAAUAUGCUGCACGAGAGCUCCUCUGCCUGAGAAACACGUCAGAUCUCUCAACUCCAUCUGUUGUUCCAAGACUACCUCCGAUCUCCGGGUUGGUUGCUACCUGGGCUGACGUGGGGGUGGAAGGAAGAUGCAGACACAGGAGGCGAGGCAGGAAAAGGAGCCACAGGGAAUGUGUUUUUCCAUGAGCAUGAGUGGGCGGAGCCUCUUGUGCCACACCUGGUGCCGAUUUCAAUCAACAAGGAUUUAUUGAGCUUUCUUUUUGACUGGUGUCUCCAUCCAGCACCUUUUGUUAUUUAUUACACUGUAAGUCAUUUAUGCACCAUAUUGAUCUUUUGCCAUUGUUGUUUUCUGUUACAUUAUUGCCAUCUGUUUUUUCUACCUAUAUCCCUUGCUUAUUAAAUUCGGUUUUAUUGUC